rnacentral:rRNA from 1 species
CCUACGGGUGGCAGCAGUGAGGAAUAUUGGUCAAUGGACGAGAGUCUGAACCAGCCAAGUAGCGUGAAGGAUGACUGCCCUAUGGGUUGUAAACUUCUUUUAUAUGGGAAUAAAAUGUUCCACGUGUGGGAUUUUGUAUGUACAUUAUGAAUAAGGAUCGGCUAACUCCGUGCCAGCAGCCGCGGUAAUACGGAGGAUCCGAGCGUUAUCCGGAUUUAUUGGGUUUAAAGGGAGCGUAGGUGGAUUGUUAAGUCAGUUGUGAAAGUUUGCGGCUCAACCGUAAAAUUGCAGUUGAAACUGGCAGUCUUGAGUACAGUAGAGGUGGGCGGAAUUCGUGGUGUAGCGGUGAAAUGCUUAGAUAUCACGAAGAACUCCGAUUGCGAAGGCAGUUCACUGGACUGCAACUGACACUGAGGCUCGAAAGUGUGGGUAUCAAACAGGAUUAGAUACCCCAGUAGUC